rnacentral:tRNA from 1 species
AGGGGAUUAGCCAAGUUGGUAAGGCACUGGAUUUUGAUUCCAGCAAUGCGCGUGUUCGAGUCACGCAUCCCCCGCCA